AAGAUUGGAUGCGUGGACUUGCUGGUGAUGGUUGCCAUCUUGGAUGCCUUCUUCGAGGACCCCAGCUCGCUUAAGCUUACAAAGAGAAGUACCAGCUGGUAGACUGGCUGGGGGAUUUGGAGAAUGCACUCCUGCAAGGAAUUGCACCGAGGAGCUCAUGUGCUGCCUCCCUCGCACAACCAUCCCC